CCUGGCUCCCGUUGAACGCUAGCUACAGGCUUAACACAUGCAAGUCGAGGCGCAGCAUGGUCUUAGCUUGCUAAGGCCGAUGGCGACCGGCGCACGGGUGAGUAACACGUAUCCAACCUGCCGUCUACUCUUGGACAGCCUUCUGAAAGGAAGAUUAAUACAAGAUGGCAUCAUGAGUCCGCAUGUUCACAUGAUUAAAGGUAUUCCGGUAGACGAUGGGGAUGCGUUCCAUUAGAUAGUAGGCGGGGUAACGGCCCACCUAGUCUUCGAUGGAUAGGGGUUCUGAGAGGAAGGUCCCCCACAUUGGAACUGAGACACGGUCCAAACUCCUACGGGAGGCAGCAGUGAGGAAUAUUGGUCAAUGGGCGAGAGCCUGAACCAGCCAAGUAGCGUGAAGGAUGACUGCCCUAUGGGUUGUAAACUUCUUUUAUAAAGGAAUAAAGUCGGGUAUGGAUACCCGUUUGCAUGUACUUUAUGAAUAAGGAUCGGCUAACUCCGUGCCAGCAGCCGCGGUAAUACGGAGGAUCCGAGCGUUAUCCGGAUUUAAUGGGUUUAAAGGGAGCGUAGAUGGAUGUUUAAGUCAGUUGUGAAAGUUUGCGGCUCAACCGUAAAAAUUGCAGUUGAUACUGGAUAUCUUGAGUGCAGUUGAGGCAGGCGGAAUUCGUGGUGUAGCGGUGAAAUGCUUAGAUAUCACGAAGAACUCCGAUNGCGAAGGCAGCCUGCUAAGCUGCAACUGACAUUGAGGCUCGAAAGUGUGGGUAUCAAACAGGAUUAGAUACCCUGGUAGUCCACACGGUAAACGAUGAAUACUCGCUGUUUGCGAUAUACUGCAAGCGGCCAAGCGAAAGCGUUAAGUAUUCCACCUGGGGAGUACGCCGGCAACGGUGAAACUCAAAGGAAUUGACGGGGGCCCGCACAAGCGGAGGAACAUGUGGUUUAAUUCGAUGAUACGCGAGGAACCUUACCCGGGCUUAAAUUGCAGAUGAAUUACGGUGAAAGCCGUAAGCCGCAAGGCAUCUGUGAAGGUGCUGCAUGGUUGUCGUCAGCUCGUGCCGUGAGGUGUCGGCUUAAGUGCCAUAACGAGCGCAACCCUUGUUGUCAGUUACUAACAGGUUCCGCUGAGGACUCUGACAAGACUGCCAUCGUAAGAUGUGAGGAAGGUGGGGAUGACGUCAAAUCAGCACGGCCCUUACGUCCGGGGCUACACACGUGUUACAAUGGGGGGUACAGAGGGCCGCUACCACGCGAGUGGAUGCCAAUCCCCAAAACCUCUCUCAGUUCGGACUGGAGUCUGCAACCCGACUCCACGAAGCUGGAUUCGCUAGUAAUCGCGCAUCAGCCACGGCGCGGUGAAUACGUUCCCGGGCCUUGUACACACCGCC
rnacentral:rRNA from 1 species